ACCACAGCUGCUCCUCCUCUGCCGGUUCAUUCGCUCUCGCUAAUGAAUUCUCACCUAUAGCAUAUGCCCUCUACAUAUUUGUUGUUAUGCCUAAGAGAGAUUAAAUUAAACACUCUCCAAUGUUUGAUCUUAUUUGUUGUGGAGUUCACUUCAGCCUACGAAGGAAAUCCAUUUAUUUUGGUCAGAGAAGUUUUAUUAGUUCACACAGUAAGUUUGCGUAUUUCCAUUGGCACCACCUCAGUCUGGGUAAGUUCACCCCCCUCUUUCGUGCAGGAAGUCGAGCAGCCUCUGCAGUUUAGAAAGAGUGUUGAAUAAGCUAAACUCACAGAAGCUAAUUCUAAACUUGCAUAUUUAGACAGUUCACUCGUAAGUUUUGCAUAUUUCUAAACUCACAGAAACUAAACAAGCAAACUUGUCUAUAUUGAGAAGUUUGUUCAUUUUAGGCAGUUCACUCGUUCGAGAGAGGUUCACUUUUUUUAAUCUUGAAGUUCUAAUCAUCUGAGGAGGAUGUUCACCUUUUUUGCUAGUAAAAUUUUGUGAGAAGUUAACCUUUUCUGUUAAGAGUUAAAUUAGCAGUUCACUAUUCCUUGUCACAAAGUUCACUUUUAAAAUGUUGGGAACAUAAGUUCAGUAAAUGAACUACAAAAUGGUUCACUUUAACCCCCAUUUGUUCAUGAAGUAUUUUUAAAUCAAGGAGUUCACUUCAUAUGUACCUGAAGUUUGCCUCUUUUUAUCCAGGGUUUUGUCUCGUUAAUUUUGUUGGCAAGUUCACAUCUUCCUUGCAUAAAAGUCCGUCUUUUGUCUCUAUGGAAGUUCAAAUUACAUUAUCAGGAAGUUCAGUUUGUGUGCAAAGUUCAUUUUUUAUGAGUUUAGUUUGUUCGAGAAGUAUAGUGUGCAUAUAGUAUAGAAUUAUAAUGGGCCAGGAAGAGUUCAUUUUUCUGUUUAGGAAGUUCAGUUAUUGCAAUUGGAAAGUUCAAUUAUUAUUUUGUACUAAUCUAUAGGCUACAACCAUGGCGUUGUUCUUUAUCAGCUGGGAAGGCACAUAAUAGAAGCCUUCAAGAUGACACCAUGGAAUAAGCAGUGGCGGUGGUUGCCUGUAGUCAUGGGAAGUUCAGUAACAGAUCAGUUGUUCAGCAGUAGUAGUGUGGUGGCUCGUCUAGAUCUUGGUAUUGUCGAGCGAGCAAGCGGUGCGUGAGGCCCUUCCAACGAAUAAAUGGAUGCUUGUGUGUGAUAUUUGAAUGGAUAAGCAAAAGAGCAACAAUAUAUGGGAAUAAAUUUAUAUGUUAUACGGUGGAUCAAAGAACUAAAAAAACUAUGUGUGGUGUUUCUAUACCUUGAGGGCGCGGGUGGUCCUGGCAGCUCGUUUCAAUAAGCAUAAUGAGAGGUAUUUGGGAAGUCCAAUCUUAUUGUCCGAGCAUUACAUGUAUAUGCAACAGGGACUCCCCUAAGCGCCGCCACCACGACGGGGCAAUGCUGGAGAGGACGAGGUCAUAAAUGUGGUGUCAGCCCCGUCUGCUUCAGGGUGGACACGGCUUGGUGGUCGCUCCGUAUCCAUGGCGUCGUCAUGCCCAACAGCGUCACGUCGUGGGGGCAUCUGUUGCAGGAGCAUUUCUGGGACGGGAAUAUGACGUGGGAUGCAUGAAGUUUACUUAUACUACUUUGUGGAGUUCACUUCUCCUAUUCUUGAUGUUCAUGUAUCCUGAUGCUUCACUUUAGAUUUUCCCUGCAAGAUGGAUUUUCAUUUGAGUCUGUUAGAUGAAUUAUUCCUGAAGUUCAAUUCCAAUGUUUGUGCUGCGGGGUGGAUGAUUUCUA